rnacentral:rRNA from 1 species
GUAGCGGCGAGCGAACGGGGAUGAGCCCAGAGCCUGAAUCAGCAUGUGUGUUAGUGGAAGCGUCUGGAAAGGCGCGCGAUACAGGGUGACAGCCCCGUACACAAAAGCGCAUAUGCUGUGAGCUCGAUGAGUAGGGCGGGACACGUGGUAUCCUGUCUGAAUAUGGGGGGACCAUCCUCCAAGGCUAAAUACUCCUGACUGACCGAUAGUGAACCAGUACCGUGAGGGAAAGGCGAAAAGAACCCCGGCGAGGGGAGUGAAAAAGAACCUGAAACCGUGUACGUACAAGCAGUGGGAGCCCCACCACUAAGCCAGUGGUGAACUCCACAUACGCAUCCUUUGCUGAGGAUGCGGUUAACGGAGCGAAAGCGACGUUCAACCGCAAAAGAAGCAGAGGGGGCUUAGUGGUGGGGUGACUGCGUACCUUUUGUAUAAU